UCUAAACAAGAAGCUAGAGAAAAUCCGUGGUACAAACGCCAUAAAAUUCUCUAUAAAGCUACAAGUUUAAGAAUUCAAGCAUUUAAGUUCAAGAACGAUCAAGAUCAAGACUAUCAGGUUCAAGAACAAGCUCGAAUCCCUUGAAUUCAAGAAAAAGUCAAGAUCAAGAUAAAGUUCAAAGUUCAAAUUCAUCAAAGAUUCAAGAUCAAGCUUUAAAGCCCUUGAAUCAUAGUUGAAAAGGCGAAUUCAG
rnacentral:lncRNA from 1 species